UCAUUCGUGGUGUAACGGUAGCACACUCGGCGCGUAGUUGAGAGGUCCAGGUUCGAAUCCUGGCGAGGGCA
rnacentral:tRNA from 1 species